CAGGGCUUAACAAAUAGCAGCUGCUUUGGGGGCUAAGAUAGAAUAGAUACUAGAGGUCAAGCCGCGCUGGGGGAAGAGCAGUGCCAGAGGGGUAUGCGAUUUAUGGCGCUAACGGAGCAGAGAGAUCUUCUUAACAAUUCAUCAAUACCUUGACAUCUAGCUGAAAUGCCACCAAGCCUAUGCCUUGAGAAUAAAAACUAACCUUUAGGAUAAGACUAACUCUAGAUUCCCCAUGUGUCCUGCACUUGCCCGCUGGCUUUAUUGCGGUCGCAGGAGAUUGCUGAGGGCAGGGCGUACCUGUGGACUCAGUGAUGCAGGCGAGGAGCCCUGGGGAUGGGACAUGCCUGCUGCUGUAGUGAGGCUGGGAGAGGGUACUGGGGUAAGGAGCACGUCGGUAGCUUUAGAGAGGCAGGAGAAUAUUGCUGGGUGCGGGGGCAGGUAUGCCUACAGCUUUACUGGGGCAGAGGAAGAAUGCUAGGGCAGGGCACACCCAUGGCUUUAGUGAGGCCGGUUCAGUGACUGCAAUGACUCUAAGGUUUGGCCUACAGAGAAGAGCGAUCACCCAGCUCUUGAUGAUGCUGGGGCUCCCUCCACAAAUGUAUUUCCUAAAGUUGGUAAAAAAAAAAAAAUGUUUUCUGGACCUUCUCAGUGUGGGCUUUCCUGUCCCAAGUCCCUCAGACACUGCCCUGAUGCUUCCUCUUCCGUGUAUGGACCCAGGUAUUCAGAGACAUUCAGAAAAUAUUGAACUGCCCCCUUUCCUCUUCUCAGCAACCCAGAACUCUUCACACUCUAAAUUUUUAAAUAAAAACAUAAAUGUUUCUCCCUGAUUAAAAGCAUUGAUACCCAA